UUUUGGAAAGAUGUAUCCUUUUGCUUACACUCAUCUUGCAGAAAUCAAUGCAUUUCUAACAGAUAUAUCCUUCUAUUUAUACCUGCCUUCCAGAAG